rnacentral:rRNA from 1 species
CCGCUUCCCAGGAUCAACGACCUGUAUGAUCAGCUCGCUGGAUCCUCAGUCUUCUCCAAGAUGGAUUUAAGGUUAGGCUACCAUCAAAUCAAGAUCAGAAACGGGGACAUUCCCAAGACAGCUUUUGUCACUCGUUAUGGCCAGUACGAGUACACCGUCAUGUCCUUUGGCCUAACCAACGCCCCAGCCACAUUUUCCCGCCUGAUGAACUCGAUUUUCAUGGAGUACUUAGAUAAGUUUGUCGUGGUUUACCUCGAUGAUAUUCUUAUUUACUCGAAGAACGAGGAAGAGCAUGCCGAACAUCUUAGACUUGUUUUAGAAAAACUCAGAGAACACCGCCUUUAUGCCAAGUUCUCCAAGUGUGAAUUUUGGUUGCCAGAAGUGACCUAUCUAGGCAACGUAAUCUCUGGUAAGGGCAUUGCUGUCAAUCCCGAGAGAGUUCAAGCCGUUCUCGAUUGGACUCCACCUGAGACCGUGAAACAAGUUAGGAGUUUCCUUGGUCUAGCCAGCUAUUGUCGCCGCUUUGUUGAAAACUUCUCC